AGCAGCCGCGGUAAUUCCAGCUCCAAUAGCGUAUAUUAAAGUUGUUGCAGUUAAAAAGCUCGUAGUUGAAUUUCGGGAUCAAGGAAUCGGUCAUGCCUUGGUAUGUACUGGUUUUAUUGGUUCUCACCUUCUAAGGAACCAUAAUGUCAUUCAUUUGAUGUUAUGGGGAAUUAGGACUGUUACCUUGAAAAAUUAGAGUGUUUAAAGCAGGCUUACGCUUGAAUACAUUAGCAUGGAAUAAUGAAAUAGGACAUCAGAUUCUAUUUUGUUGGUUUCUAGGAUCGAUGUAAUGAUUAAUAGGGAUAGUUGGGGGCAUUAGUAUUCAAUUGUCAGAGGUGAAAUUCUUGGAUUUAUUGAAGACUAACUACUGCGAAAGCAUUUGCCAAGGAUGUUUUCAUUAAUCAAGAACGAAAGUUAGGGGAUCGAAGACGAUCAGAUACCGUCGUAGUCUUAACCAUAAAACUAU
rnacentral:rRNA from 1 species